GACGAACCGAGCGAACGUUGUUCGGAAUCACUGGGCUUAAAGGGCGCGUAGGCGGGCGUCCAAGUCAGGGGUGAAAUCUUUCGGCCUAACCGGAAAAGUGCCCCUGAUACUGGGCAUCUCGAGGGAGGUAGGGGCGUGUGGAACUACCGGUGGAGCGGUGAAAUGCGUAGAUAUAGGAAGGAACGCCGGUGGCGAAAGUGACGCGCUGGACCUCUUCUGACGCUGAGGCGCGAAAGCCAGCUGGUCAAACGGC
rnacentral:rRNA from 1 species